GACGAACGCUGGCGGCGUGCUUAACACAUGCAAGUCGAACGGAAAGGCCCUGCUUUUGUGGGGUGCUCGAGUGGCGAACGGGUGAGUAACACGUGAGUAACCUGCCCUUGACUUUGGGAUAACUUCAGGAAACUGGGGCUAAUACCGGAUAGGAGCUCCUGCUGCAUGGUGGGGGUUGGAAAGUUUCGGCGGUUGGGGAUGGACUCGCGGCUUAUCAGCUUGUUGGUGGGGUAGUGGCUUACCAAGGCUUUGACGGGUAGCCGGCCUGAGAGGGUGACCGGCCACAUUGGGACUGAGAGACGGCCCAGACUCCUACGGGAGGCAGCAGUGGGGAAUAUGGCACAAUGGGCGGAAGCCUGAUGCAGCAACGCCGCGUGCGGGAGGACGGCCUUCGGGUUGCAAACCGCUUUCGCCUGUGACGAAGCGUGAGUGACGGUAAUGGGUAAAGAAGCACCGGCUAACUACGU
rnacentral:rRNA from 1 species